AUUGAACGCUGGCGGCAGGCCUAACACAUGCAAGUCGAACGAGUGGCGGACGGGUGAGUUAUGUCUGGGAAACUGCCUGAUGGAGGGGGUCCACUAAUGGAAACGGUAGCUAAUACCGCAUACCAUCAGAUGUGCCCAGUUGGCAUUAGGUUGUUGGUGGGGUAAAGGCUCACCAGGGCGACGAUCCCUAGCUGGUCUGAGAGGAUGACCAGGCACACUGGAACUGAGACACGGUCCAGACUCCUACGGGAGGCAGCAGUGGGGAAUAUUGCACAAUGGGCGCAAGCCUGAUGCAGCCAUGCCGCGUGUAUGAAGAAGGUCUUCGGGUUGUAAAGAACUUUCAGCGGGGAGGCGUUACCCGCAGAAGAAGCACCGGCUAACUCCGUGCCAGCAGCCGCGGUAAUAC
rnacentral:rRNA from 1 species